GACGAACGCUGGCGGCGUGCCUAAUACAUGCAAGUAGAACGCAGUUGCGAACGGGUGAGUAACGCGUAGGUAACUGCCUCAUAGCGGGGGAGAACUAUUGGAAACGAUAGCUAAUACCGCAUACUGUGAGAUGGACCUGCGUUGUAGUAGCUAGUUGGAGAGGUAAAGGCUCACCAAGGCGACGAUACCUAGCCGACCUGAGAGGGUGCUCGGCCCCACUGGGAUCGGGCCACGCGCCAGAUUCCUACGGGAGGUAGCACGAGGGAAUCUUCGGCAAUGGACGGAAGUCUGACCGAGCAACGCCGCGUGAGUGAAGAAGGUUUUCGGAUCGUAUAGCUCUGUUGUUAGAGAAGCGGAAGCUAACCAGAAAGGGACGGCUAACUACGUGCCAGCAGCCGCGGUAAUUC
rnacentral:rRNA from 1 species